UCCGGUUUGUCACCGGCAGUCUCAUUAGAGUGCCCUUGCGUAGCAACUAAUGAUUAGGGUUGCGCUCGCUGCGGGACUUAACCCAACAUCUCACGACACGAGCUGACGACAGCCAUGCAGCACCUGUCACCGGUCCAGCCGAACUGAAGGGAUCCAUCUCUGGUUCCCGCGACCGGGAUGUCAAGGCCAGGUAAGGUUCUUCGCGUUGCAUCGAAUUAAGCCACAUACUCCACCGCUUGUGCAGGCCCCCGUCAAUUUCUUUGAGUUUUAAUCUUGCGACCGUACUUCCCAGGCGGCACGUUUAACGCGUUAGCUUCGCCACAAAAGGGGUCGAUUCCUUUUACAGCAAACGUGCACCGUUUACGGCUAGGACUAC
rnacentral:misc_RNA from 1 species